GUCCACACGGUAAACGAUGAAUACUCGCUGUUUGCGAUAUACGGCAAGCGGCCAAGCGAAAGCGUUAAGUAUUCCACCUGGGGGAGUACGCCGGCAACGGUGAAACUCAAAGGAAUUGACGGGGGCCCGCACAAGCGGAGGAACAUGUGGUUUAAUUCGAUGAUACGCGAGGAACCUUACCAAGGCUUAAAUGUAGUUUGACCGAUUUGGAAACAGAUCUUUCGCAAGACAAAUUACAAGGUGCUGCAUGGUUGUCGU
rnacentral:rRNA from 1 species